rnacentral:rRNA from 1 species
AUUGAACGCUGGCGGCAGGCUUAACACAUGCAAGUCGAGCGAGCGGCGGACGGGUGAGUAAUGUCUGGGAAACUGCCUGAUGGAGGGGGAUAACUACUGGAAACGGUAGCUAAUACAGCAUACCAUCGGAUGUGCCCAGAUGGGAAUAGCUAGUAGGUGGGGUAAAGGCUUACCUAGGCGACGAUCCCUACCUGGUCUGAGAGGAUGAACAGCCACACUGGAACUUAGACACGGUCCAGACUCCUACUGAAGGCAGCAGUGGUGGAUAUUGCACAAUGGGCGCAAGCCUGAUGCAGCCAUGCCGCGUGUGUGAAGAAGGCCUUCGGGUUGUAAAGCACUUGCAGCGAGGAGGCGUUACCCGCAGGAGGAGCACCGGCUAACUCCGUGCCAGCAGCCGCGGUAAUAC